UACGUAGGGUGCGAGCGUUGUCCGGAAUUACUGGGCGUAAAGAGCUCGUAGGUGGUUUGUCGCGUUGUUCGUGAAAACUCACAGCUCAACUGUGGGCGUGCGGGCGAUACGGGCAGACUGGAGUACUGCAGGGGAGACUGGAAUUCCUGGUGUAGCGGUGGAAUGCGCAGAUAUCAGGAGGAACACCGGUGGCGAAGGCGGGUCUCUGGGCAUUAACUGACGCUGAGGAGCGAAAGCAUGGGGAGCGAACAGG
rnacentral:rRNA from 1 species